rnacentral:rRNA from 1 species
ACAGGGAUUGCCUUAGUAGCGGCGAGUGAAGCGGCAAAAGCUCAAAUUUGAAAUCUGGCACCUUCGGUGUCCGAGUUGUAAUUUGAAGAUUGUAACCUUGGGGUUGGCUCUUGUCUAUGUUUCUUGGAACAGGACGUCACAGAGGGUGAGAAUCCCGUGCGAUGAGAUGCCCAAUCCUAUGUAAGGUGCUUUCGAAGAGUCGAGUUGUUUGGGAAUGCAGCUCUAAGUGGGUGGUAAAUUCCAUCUAAAGCUAAAUAUUGGCGAGAGACCGAUAGCGAACAAGUACAGUGAUGGAAAGAUGAAAAGAACUUUGAAAAGAGAGUGAAAAAGUACGUGAAAUUGUUGAAAGGGAAGGGUUUGAGAUCAGACUCGAUAUUUUGUGAGCCUUGCCUUCGUGGCGGGGUGACCCGCAGCUUAUCGGGCCAGCAUCGGUUUGGGCGGUAGGAUAAUGGCGUAGGAAUGUGACUUUGCUUCGGUGAAGUGUUAUAGCCUGCGUUGAUGCUGCCUGCCUAGACCGAGGACUGCGAUUUUAUCAAGGAUGCUGGCAUA